UACGAAGGGGGCUAGCGUUGUUCGGAUUUACUGGGCGUAAAGCGCACGUAGGCGGAUCGUUAAGUCAGGGGUGAAAUCCCGGAGCUCAACUCCGGAACUGCCUUUGAUACUGGCGAUCUUGAGGCUGGAAGAGGUUAGUGGAAUUCCCAGUGUAGAGGUGAAAUGCGCAGAUAUCAGGAGGAACACCGGUGGCGAAGGCGGCUCUCUGGGCCUGUCCUGACGCUCAGGCGCGAAAGCUAGGGGAGCGAACAGG
rnacentral:rRNA from 1 species